rnacentral:rRNA from 1 species
UGGGGAAUCUUGCGCAAUGGGCGAAAGCCUGACGCAGCGACGCCGCGUGAGUGAUGAAGGCCUUCGGGUUGUAAAGCUCUGUGGGGAGAGAAGAAUAAGUGCGGGCUAAUACCCCGCAUGAUGACGGUAUCUCCUUAGCAAGCACCGGCUAACUCUGUGCCAGCAGCCGCGGUAAGACAGAGGGUGCAAACGUUGUUCGGAAUUACUGGGCGUAAAGCGAGUGUAGGCGGUUUGGUAAGUCGGAUGUGAAAGCCCCGGGCUCAACCCGGGAAGUGCAUUCGAUACUGCCAAGCUAGAGUAUCGGAGAGGUUGGUGGAAUUCUCGGUGUAGAGGUGAAAUUCGUAGAUAUCGAGAGGAACACCGGUGCGAAGGCGGCCAACUGGACGAAUACUGACGCUGAGACUCGAAAGCGUGGGGAGCAAACAGGAUU